rnacentral:misc_RNA from 1 species
UGUAAAGCGAAAGAGAGAAGCAAGAGAUCCACAUGCAAAUGUAUUGGUAAUAGGGAAACAUUGCCAUGGCCAAGGCUUGUAUUCAUAGGAAUGGGGAACAUUUGGACAGUCUCUAAUCAACCUUCCCACUUUAUCACGUGCAUUUCAGUGUUGCCUAAUAGAUCAUUACCAGACACAAGCUUCUUCGUAAAGAUAGUAGAUUUAGCCGUACCAAAUUCCUGGGUUCAUUUAUAUGCUUCCUACUAUCUCCAUGAGAGUGUGAAGAAGUCCAGAGCAG